CCUGGCCUUGACAUACUAAGAACUUUCCAGAGAUGGAUUGGUGCCUUCGGGAACUUAGAUACAGGUGCUGCAUGGCUGUCGUCAGCUCGUGUCGUGAGAUGUUGGGUUAAGUCCCGCAACGAGCGCAACCCUUUUCCUAUUUGCCAGCGGGUUAAGCCGGGAACUUUAAGGAUACUGCCAGUGACAAACUGGAGGAAGGCGGGGACGACGUCAAGUCAUCAUGGCCCUUACGGCCAGGGCUACACACGUGCUACAAUGGUCGGUACAAAGGGUUGCUACCUCGCGAGAGGAUGCUAAUCUCAAAAAGCCGAUCGUAGUCCGGAUCGCAGUCUGCAACUCGACUGCGUGAAGUCGGAAUCGCUAGUAAUCGCGGAUCAGAAUGCCGCGGUGAAUACGUUCCCGGGCCUUGUACACACCGCCCGUCACACCAUGGGAGUUUGUUGCACCAGAAGUAGGUAGUCUAACCGCAAGGAGGACGCUUACCACGGUGUGGCCGAUGACUGGGGUGAAGUCGUAACAAGGUAGGCGUAGAUGA
rnacentral:rRNA from 1 species